GCAUUCGUGGCCGAGUGGUUGAAGGCGCCGGGCUCAUAACCCGUUUUCCUCUGGAACACACUGGUUCGAACCCAGUCGAAUGCA
rnacentral:tRNA from 1 species